rnacentral:rRNA from 1 species
CCUACGGGAGGCAGCAGUCGAGAAUCAUUCACAAUGGGGGAAACCCUGAUGGUGCGACGCCGCGUGGGGGAAUGAAGGUCUUCGGAUUGUAAACCCCUGUCAUGUGGGAGCAAAUUAAAAAGAUAGUACCACAAAAGGAAGAGACGGCUAACUCUGUGCCAGCAGCCGCGGUAAUACAGAGGUCUCAAGCGUUUUUCGGAAUCACUGGGCGUAACGCGUGCGUAGGCUGUUUCGUAAGUCGUGUGUGAAAGGCGCGGGCUCAACCCGCGGACGGCACAUGAUACUGCGAGACUAGAGUAAUGGAGGGGGAACCGGAAUUCUCGGUGUAGCAGUGAAAUGCGUAGAUAUCGAGAGGAACACUCGUGGCGAAGGCGGGUUCCUGGACAUUAACUGACGCUGAGGCACGAAGGCCAGGGGAGCGAAAGGGAUUAGAUACCCCGGUAGUC